CACAGUGGGCUCUACUGAAUGUACAGUAUCUCACAAAAUGAUUUCCACGACAAUGUGUCUUAUUUUGUGAGUGUGAGAUCCCUCAUUGACUCAGACACCCAAAUACACACUGAGCCUUCUGAUUAUGAGAAAUGAAGAGAACCUCCACAGAACCUGGACAGAAGAGAACCACCAAAGAACCUGGACUGAAGAGAACCACCACAGAACCUUGACUGAAGAGAACCACCACAGAACUGGCACCAAAUUCAAAGCCAGUUUUAAAAUAUCUAUUAUAUUUUUUUUAUUAUUCUACCCUAUAAUGAAGAUGUCCAGAUGAUAAGCUUAACUUAAAUGUGGAGGUGAAUUAUGUUUCAUAGUAAUGAUAAUAAAGUAUAUUGAUGAUUAGUUCUACAAA